rnacentral:rRNA from 1 species
AUUGAACGCUGGCGGCAGGCUUAACACAUGCAAGUCGAGCGGGGUGAUGGUGCUUGCACUAUCACUUAGCGGCGGACGGGUGAGUAAUGCUUAGGAAUCUGCCUAUUAGUGGGGGACAACAUCUCGAAGGGGAUGCUAAUACCGCAUACGUCCUACGGGAGAAAGCAGGGGAUCACUUGUGACCUUGCGCUAAUAGAUGAGCCUAAGUCGGAUUAGCUAGUUGGUGGGGUAAAGGCCUACCAAGGCGACGAUCUGUAGCGGGUCUGAGAGGAUGAUCCGCUACACUGGAACUGAGACACGGCCCAGACUCCUACGGGAGGUAGCAGUGGGGAAUAUUGGACAAUGGGGGGAACCCUGAUCCAGCCAUGCCGCGUGUGUGAAGAAGGCCUUAUGGUUGUAAAGCACUUUAAGCGAGGAGGAGGCUCUUUUGGUUAAUACCCAAGAUGAGUGGACGUUACUCGCAGAAUAAGCACCGGCUAACUCUGUGCCAGCCGCCGCGGUAA